AACGUAGGAGACAAACGUUAUCCGGAGUUACUGGGCGUAAAGGGCGCGUAGGCGGCAGAUUAAGUCAGCUGUGAAAUCUCCGAGCUUAACUCGGAACUGUCAGCUGAUACUGUUUUGCUAGAGUGCGGAAGGGGCAAUCGGAAUUCUUGGUGUAGCGGUGAAAUGCGUAGAUAUCAAGAGGAACACCUGAGGUGAAGACGGGUUGCUGGGCCGACACUGACGCUGAGUGCGCGAAAGCCAGGGGAGCAAACGGG
rnacentral:rRNA from 1 species